GUCCCUUGCUCGUGGUGCUCCAUACCAGCACUUUCCGCAGGCAUUCUACAGUGGUUGGCACAUUGCGGAAAUCAGUAAAUGAUAGCAUUUGUUACUGUUUUCCCAGUCCCUAAGAACAGAUGUUGGGGGAGGGGAAAGUGAAGCUAAGUGUUCUGCGAUUAAAUAGAGAAAAGGGUCUGUUGUCUUAGGUCCCCACCUUUACACCAGGUUCCAGAGCUUUCGGAGCACUGUGUUGGUUUGUCUCCAAACGCCCAGGAAGACUCCCGAAUCAUCAGAUGACACCCAGACUGAAGGGGUGGAAUAACCAGCUUUCUCAAGAAGAGCUUCUGAGUAGAAGAGAAGAGCUUCUGAAUAAACAGGCUCACGCAACACUUCGGUGAAAACGCAAGGUCAAACAAGUCCUCUGAUUUAAGUGUCAGUGGGACUUCUGGGGAUAUACUUUUCCGCCAACUAAAGGAUGAGAACUUGAGGAGUUUUCUGUGACAUCUAGUAAAUGACAUCUGUCGCCAAGCUGGCAUUCAGCACGGAACAAAGGAAGGAAAAGACUGAACUGAAGAAUCCCAAGAGUCAAGACUCUCUGAGUGAGCACAGAAGAGAUCACAUGUUCUGUGGCUUCUUUGAAAUGGCCUGAGAACCUCAGAGAAGGGCCAUGCUUGUAGUCUGGAGCCAGAAGACCCAGGGGACCAGAGCCUAGGUCUUAAGGCCUGCUGCACCUGUACCAGCCUGGGAAUACCGUCAGUGUAGACUCUCUCUUCUCUAAUAAAAAGUUCAAUUACUG
rnacentral:lncRNA from 1 species